UUUGUGAUGAAAAAUUUGGUCCGUGUUUAUGAAAUUUCAUGAUUCUAUCUUUAACCUAUAUUCUGAUUAAU